rnacentral:rRNA from 1 species
UACGGAGGGAGCUAGCGUUGUUCGGAAUUACUGGGCGUAAAGCGCGCGUAGGCGGCUUAUCAAGUCAGAGGUGAAAUCCCGGGGCUCAACCCCGGAACUGCCUUUGAAACUAUUAAGCUAGAAUCUUGGAGAGGCGAGUGGAAUUCCGAGUGUAGAGGUGAAAUUCGUAGAUAUUCGGAAGAACACCAGUGGCGAAGGCGACUCGCUGGACAAGUAUUGACGCUGAGGUGCGAAAGCGUGGGGAGCAAACAGG